UUCCAUUGUACUGACACACGGUACCAGACUCCUACGGGAGGCAGCAGUGAGGAAUAUUGGGCAAUGGAGGCAACUCUGACCCAGCCAUGCCGCGUGCAGGAAGACGGUCCUCUGGAUUGUUAACUGCUUUUAUUUGGGAAGAAACCCCGGGCCGUGCAUCCGGGCUGACGGUACCAAAUGAAUAAGCACCGGCUAACUCCGUGCCAGCAGCCGCGGUAAUACGGAGGGUGCAAGCGUUAUCCGGAAUCAUUGGGUUUAAAGGGUCCGCAGGCGGACUAUUAAGUCAGUGGUGAAAUCUCUCAGCUUAACUGAGAAACUGCCAUUCAUACUGCUAUUCUUGAAUUCGGUCGAAGUGGGCCGAAUGUGUCAUGUAGCGGUGAAAUGCAUAGAUAUGACACAGAACACCGAUACCGAAGGCAGCUCACUAUGCCUGAAUUGACGCUUAAGGAUGAAUGCGUGGCGAGCAAACAGGAUUAGAUACCCUGGUAUUCCACGCC
rnacentral:rRNA from 1 species